GCUUCAGUAGCUUAGACUAUUAAAGCAUUGGUCUUGUAAACCAAAGAACGAAGAAUAAAAUCUUCCUGAGGCU
rnacentral:tRNA from 1 species